UAUCCCAUUUGACUACCACAUUUUCUCCUUAUAAUAGAUCUUAGUGGCUAUGCUUACAGGAUAGAUUAAAAUUCCCAUUAUCGAAUUAUUACCUGUUGAUAACAUGUAUAGUAUUCUCAACUGGACUAGACUGAGAAGU
rnacentral:snoRNA from 1 species